AUGGGCAAACAGGAUGACUGGUCUGCGUCUUCGUCUCCCUCUUCUGUCUUUCUUCAACCCUCCUCUAAGCAGCUCUCUGGGGGCUCGGCCACACUGGUCUGCCUGCUGACCGGCUACUCUCCUCAGGGAGCUGAGGUGAUAUGGGAGGUGGAUGGCGCAGAGGUGCUAGAGGGGGUCCUGACCAGCUCAGAGGAGGAGAAGAGUGGACACUACAGCAGCAGCAGCACCCUGACACUGAGCCUGGAGAGCUGGAUGAAUGGAGAUCUGUACUCCUGCAAGGUCAACCAUCAUGAUCACACACAGUCCCAGUCCCUCCGCAGGAGCCAGUGUGCAGGGUUAGAGGGCUAA